rnacentral:misc_RNA from 1 species
GAAAUGCGAUAAUUAAUGUGAAUUGCAGAAUUCAGUGAAUCAUCGAGUCUUUGAACGCACAUUGCGCCCCCUGGUAUUCCGGGGGGCAUGCCUGUCCGAGCGUCAUUGCUGCCCUCAAGCACGGCUUGUGUGUUGGGCUUCCGUCCCUGGCAACGGGGACGGGCCCAAAAGGCAGUGGCGGCACCAUGUCUGGUCCUCGAGCGUAUGGGGCUUUGUCACCCGCUCCCGUAGGUCCAGCUGGCAGCUAGCCUCGCAACCAAUCUUUUUUACCAGGUUGACCUCGGAUCAGGUAGGGAUACCCGCUGAACUUAAGC